rnacentral:lncRNA from 1 species
AUCCAACGUAGCACCAAUUGCACGAUCGCCACCACUACAUCAUACCACCAUACAUACACACAAAUCGACGUCGUUUCUAUAAACAUGGAUCUGCACACAUAUAUAUAUAGAUUGAUCGUGCACUGCAUACAAACACAGAGAUCAGUACACAUAUACAUAAAUCACCCAUCAUUGGACCAAUUAUAGAGGAGAAGAUGAGGAAGACGACGUUGCUGAGGUGCAGGUGGUGUUGAACGUACAACUAAGAUUUGUGGAAUUCAGGUUGAUGUUGAUCGGAUUGCUUAGAUUUAGAGUGGUAAAUUUUGCUGCCACUGGUGAGGCUAGAUGGUCAUGUUCCCCUUCUAGUUUAACACAUUUGAGAGUUGGUACGAAGGAUUGAUAAUUCAUGAAGAGAGAGAUUAUACAGUUUGGGGUAGGUACAGUCUUACAAUGGCAGAUAUAGGUAUUGGCGAGUUAGGGCGGCCGCUCUAGCUGGAUUCCUCGAAAUCGCAGGAAGAAGAGAGCCUCCCUUUGCAGACAAAGACACAAGAAGAAAAAAGAAGAGGAAGUGAGGAGUUGGGAUGUCUGUGAGUCUGUGAUGAGUUGGGUUGUUCACUGUUGGGCUGUUGGGCUGUGAGUUAGUGGGCGGGCCUUUUAAAAAAAAAAUUAAGCAGGCCCAAUUCCGAAAUAAAUGAAAAUGAAAUCAACUUUCCCCAAUUCCCCCAAUUCCUUCCCGUCAAAGUUCAAACCAACAACAGAGGGAACUCAGAGAAGAGCAGCAAACCCUUCUUGAGUUCUUUCCCCCAAUUCCUUCUUGUCAAAUCGAUUAUUUGAGUUCGCUGAUUGAGCUAGUAGCGAUGUGUACGGUGAACGUGAACCCAUUGGUGUGAAGUAGUAUUACCAUUUUCACCUAAUUUUUCAUUGUUGAUUAUAUACUCACC